GACGAACGCUGGCGGCGUGCUUAACACAUGCAAGUCGAACGGUGAAGCGCCUUCCUUUUUGGUGGGUGUGGAUGAGUGGCGGACUGGUGAGUAACACGUGAGUAACCUGCCCCCUUCUUCUGGAUAACCGCAUGAAAGUGUGGCUAAUACGGGAUAUUCUGGGUCUGUCGCAUGAUGGGUCUGGGAAAGAUAUUGUUUCGGUGGGGGAUGGGCUCGCGGCCUAUCAGCUUGUUGGUGGGGUGAUGGCCUACCAAGGCGGUGACGAGUAGCCGGCCUGAGAGGGUGGGCGGCACCAGUGGGACUGAGACACGGACACGACUACUACGGGAGGCAGCAGGGGAGAAUAUGGCACGAUGGGCAGAAGGAUGAUGCAGCGACGCCGCGGGAGUGAUGGAGUCCGGAGCGUUGUGAACUUCUUUCAGCAGUGAAGCAGGCUGGCCUCGUUUGUGGGUGGGUUGACGGUAGCUGGACAAGAAGCGCCGGCUAACUACGUG
rnacentral:rRNA from 1 species